rnacentral:misc_RNA from 1 species
AAAAAGCUUCCGUAGGUGAACCUGCGGAAGGAUCAUUAACGAAUUUGCUGUUCAGCGGCAAAGAAACUAAACCAAAACUUAUGGGUGGCCGGGCCCGGGUAAGAAGUCUGAACAGAAUAUAAGAGUGAAUAAAAAAAAAAGUACGUGAGUACGUGUGUGUGGGUGUGUGUUGGCAUUGCAUACAUACUACCACUACCAUCUUUGACUAGGCUUCAGACCAAGCUCUCUACGUUGUCCCACACACCGCUAAUAUUUUGCCUCGAUCUCUGCGCUCUCAUACGGGAUAAGUCCACCGGAAACGGGGCAUUCGGCAGGAAGCAGAGAUGAGUUGGGCGGUGUAGCGCUGUUAGAGGGUUUGUGUCUGUGCCUAGCUGCUGAUUCGUUCAUUCAAGUGGCUCCCCCGGCCAGAACACCUAACCAUCAGCAGUAGACUGUUGCGACAGACUGCUGAUGACCCAUGUUAUUAAUACUACUUCUCCCUCCCGUCAAGUGACGGCUACGAGGGUAGACUAUAACACGCUUACACACUGGAAGGGUGGUGGUGGUACGUUGCCUUACUAAACAACCUCUCCCGGGCAGAGCAUCCGGGAGCUUGGUUGGAAAAGUAAGGUAACAAGAGUCCAGAGUCGUACUACGUUCUGGUCUCGGCCGCAGCCGCCCAGUGAGUGUUGAGCGACUGAAUCUUUUUUAAACCUUAACACUACCUGUCACUACUACGACAAACCUUCAAACCCAUAGUACUAAGUCUUCCCACAUGGUCUCUUGAGGCAGAGAUUGCGGAAGUGAUAAAAGUCGGCACAGCCCGACGGCAAUAAAAAAAUACAACUCUUAACGGUGGAUCACUCGGCUCGUGGGUCGAUGAAGAACGCAGCAAGCU